GUCAUGUGAUUAAUACAAAAUGGCGGAUUGGUAAUGGAAAAUACUUUGAUGUUUUCAGACAGCAAAUUUAUGUCUAAUUGGAGAGCAAUGUUUGCCGUGUUAUGUCUCACACUUUGUCUCAGGAAGUUGCCAUAGAAUACAACUGGGUUGGAAAAGGCUUGAAAAAACAUUCGAAAAACUUAGACUUAAAACAGUCAUAUUAGAUGCUGUAAGAGGAAGUAGACAGGGGUCUACUCAUAAUGAAAUCGAGAAGACAAUGAAGGAGUGGCUAAGAUAAGCCAAGGAUAUGGGAGGCGGGCGGAGGAAGAGACUGACUAAAAAGUUGCAACAACAAAGAGAAGAAAAUGAAAAUGAUAUGUGAACAACAUUUAGAAAUAAAUUGUAGUAAUUAGAAUAUUUUAUGUUCUUUUAUUUUACGGUCUCUCUGAAUUCUAGGAGACAUGCUGUUUUUGGUCUUGUCAUCUGACGGCCAGCGUUAGUAGUAAGAAACAAGUAAUUGGGCCAAUGGAGGGCCAACAAUAAGAGUAGGAAACAAAGUGAUAGGCCAACUGAGAGCCAACUUAGAUAGUAGAAAAUAAGGCUUUGGGCCAACGAAGGGCCAAUGUUUAUUAUAGGAAACCAGUCAGUGGGCCAACGGGGGGCCAACAAUAAGAAGGGAAAUCAGUUGUUGGGCGAACAGAGGGCCAACGAUAUGAAGGAUAACCAGUCAUUGGGCCAAUGGAGGGCCAACGAUAAGAGUAGGAAAGCAGUCGUUGGGCCAACCAUAUACCAACCGUUGGCCCAACGUUGCCCCAAUUAGCAAA